rnacentral:rRNA from 1 species
ACCGGCGCACGGGUGCGUAACGCGUAUGCAAUCUACCUUUUACAGAGGGAUAGCCCAGAGAAAUUUGGAUUAAUACCUCAUAGUAUGUGAGAAUCGCAUGGUUUUCACAUUAAAGUCACAACGGUAAAAGAUGAGCAUGCGUCCCAUUAGCUUGUUGGUAAGGUAACGGCUUACCAAGGCAACGAUGGGUAGGGGUCCUGAGAGGGAGAUCCCCCACACUGGUACUGAGACACGGACCAGACUCCUACGGGAGGCAGCAGUGAGGAAUAUUGGACAAUGGGCGCAAGCCUGAUCCAGCCAUGCCGCGUGCAGGAUGACGGUCCUAUGGAUUGUAAACUGCUUUUGUACAGGAAGAAACACUCCCUCGUGAGGGAGCUUGACGGUACUGUAAGAAUAAGGAUCGGCUAACUCCGUGCCAGCAGCCGCGGUAAUACGGAGGAUCCAAGCGUUAUCCGGAAUCAUUGGGUUUAAAGGGUCCGUAGGCGGUUUAAUAAGUCAGUGGUGAAAGCCCAUCGCUCAACGGUGGAACGGCCAUUGAUACUGUUAAACUUGAAUUAUUAGGAAGUAACUAGAAUAUGUAGUGUAGCGGUGAAAUGCUUAGAGAUUACAUGGAAUACCAAUUGCGAAGGCAGGUUACUACUAAUGGAUUGACGCUGAUGGACGAAAGCGUGNGUAGCGAACAGGAUUAGAUACCCUGGUAGUCCACGCCGUAAACGAUGGAUACUAGC